rnacentral:piRNA from 1 species
UGCUCUAGGCCUUUCAACAAGAGCCUCA